ensembl:lncRNA
AUGCUCUUCCAGAAACUCUGCCCACAUCGUGGCCAUAGGAGCAAUUCCUGGGUGAGGCCAACGUGGCCCUGUGGCUGUGGGGCCCUCGUCCAGCAGCGUGGUGUGAAGGGAAAGGAAAAGCGUCCCAGGCAGAAACAACACCCAGAGGCUGUGUCAUGGAAGGAGAUAUUUAUUUUCUUUUUCUUGACAAAAGAAAAGCCUGCUGGUGUCACCCAUGGGGCCCGAGGGCCCUCUGCUUUCGGGGCCAUCACCAUGCCAUGGUUGAGGGGACCCUGCUUGGACUGGGAUCAGGCUCCCUGCAGCCGCUGCCGCCUCCCCGUGCUCCUCCUAGGGCUGCUCUGGCUCUGUAGGGCCGGUCCCGCGUGUGCUGGGACUCUCUCCGAGGGCUUCCUCCGACCAGCCGGCCUCCUGCUCCACGCUGGGUCCCGCGGGCCCAGCCGGGCCGGGAGCAUCCCCAGGGGAGGCCGAGGGGGCAGAGCUGGCGCCGGGGCCCUCGGCCUCCUCCUGGGCAGCGUGGCAGCCCCGCAGCCUCCGCACCUCCUGGCUGCACUGAGUCUCGAUGAUGCCGAGGAGACCGUCCACCAGCAGCGCCGUGGAGUGCCGCAGGCGAGGCUUCAGCCGCUGCAGCAGCACCUCCCUGUCCGGGCCGAAGAUGCACAGGGCCAGCAGGAUGGCGCUUUCCGCCGUCUUCACCUGCCACCACCGCGCCCUGUACAUCAUCUGCAGCCGCUGCUGCAGCCAGCUCCGCACGGGGUUCAGGAGGUCACGUCUCCUCCGGAAAAGCUCUGCCCAGAGCUCGGGCAGGAUGCCGCCCACGGCUGGCCCUGCAGCGCCCUGCUCGGCUGGGGACAGCGUCCCCUGCGAGGCAGAGGCAAGGGAUGCGGCAAAGACGUGGAUGCUGCGCCCAUCCUUUCUGUCACCAGCUUCUCCUGCGUGCCCGGUGGCCUCUCUGGGGUAUCUGAUGAUGCACUGCAGGUAGUCCUCCUCCUGCUCGGAAAAGCUGACGGCCGAGACCAGCCUUCUGCAGACGGGGCAGGUUCGCUUCCCCCGCAGCCAGCGCAGGAUGCAGCCCAGGCAGAACUCGUGGCGGCAGGGCCAGGCGUGGGCCGUGACACUCAGCACCUCCCAGCAGAUGGGGCAGCUCCACUCGCUGCUCCCGCUGGACAUCUCGCCUUCCUUCCUGCUUCUUGCUUCAGCUCUGCCGCCCAAAUCUGUACAGCCGGGGGUCAUAAUCCAUCCUGUCACCCUUUGCCACCCAGUGAAGUCACAGUGGGACAAUCACUUGGCCCAGCUGCCUGA